CAUCCGCUCUUUUAAUGUGUUUAAUCGAGAUACUUCAUUGUGAGAGUUUUGAAUGCAAAUUCAAAACUCUCACUAACGUACUCCAAAAGGCUUGGACAGGAAAGAGUCCAAAAGGCUUGGACAGGAAAGAGUCUAAAAGGCUUGGACAGGAAAGAGUCCAAAAGGCUUGGACAGAGAGGGUCCAAAGUACUUAAGGAGGUUUGAAUCUUAAACUGUAAGUUUAAGAUUUAUGGAUAAUCGAACGAAGUGAGAUUAAAAGUAGUUCUCUUAAGCUGAAAGUUUAAGAGGAGUACAUAAAUUAAUAAGCUUUUGAUAAAAAGCUUAUAAAGAUUAGACAUAUUAAGAGAGCGGAUG
rnacentral:rRNA from 1 species